UAUUGGUCAAUGGGCGCGAGUCUGAACCAGCCAAGUAGCGUGAAGGAUGACUGCCCUAUGGGUUGUAAACUUCUUUUAUAUGGGAAUAAAGUGCAGUAUGUAUACUGAUUUACAUGUACCUUAUGAAUAAGGAUCGGCUAACUCCGUGCCAGCAGCCGCGGUAAUACGGAGGAUCCGAGCGUUAUCCGGAUUUAUUGGGUUUAAAGGGAGCGUAGGUGGGUUGUUAAGUCAGUUGUAAAAGUUUGCGGAUCAACCGUAAAAUUGCAGUUGAUACUGGCAUCCUUGAGUACAGUAGAGGUAGGCGGAAUUCGUGGUGUAGCGGUGAAAUGCUUAGAUAUCACGAAGAACUCCGAUUGCGAAGGCAGCCUGCUGGACUGUAACUGACGCUGAUGCUCGAAAGUGUGGGUAUCAAG
rnacentral:rRNA from 1 species